CGGUGAAGCUCCAAGCUUGCUUGGGGUGGAUCAGUGGCGAACGGGUGAGUAACACGUGAGCAACCUGCCCCAGACUCCGGAAUAAGCGCUGGAAACGGCGUCUAAUACUGGAUAUGAGAUCAGUCCGCAUGGGCAUGGUCUGGAAAGUUUUUCGGUCUGGGAUGGGCUCGCGGCCUAUCAGCUUGUUGGUGAGGUAAUGGCUCACCAAGGCGACGACGGGUAGCCGGCCUGAGAGGGCMACCGGCCACACUGGGACUGAGACACGGCCCAGACUCCUACGGGAGGCAGCAGUGGGGAAUAUUGCACAAUGGGCGAAAGCCUGAUGCAGCGACGCCGCGUGAGGGAUGACGGCUUCGGGUUGUUAACCUCUUUCAGCAGGGAAGAAGCGCAAGUGACGGUACCUGCAGAAGAAGCACCGGCUAACUACGUGCCAGCAGCCGCGGUAAUACGUAGGGUGCGAGCGUUGUCCGGAAUUAUUGGGCGUAAAAGGCUGUAGGCGGUUUGUCGCGUCUGCUGUGAAAAUCCGAGGCUCAACCUCGGACUUGCAGUGGGUACGGGCAGACUAGAGUGUGGUAGGGGAGACUGGAAUUCCUGGUGUAGCGGUGAANUNCGCAGAUAUCAGGAGGAACACCGAUGGCGAAGG
rnacentral:rRNA from 1 species